CAGUCGCCACGGGAAUACGAAGGGGGCUAGCGUUGCUCGGAAUGACUGGGCGUAAAGGGCGCGUAGGCGGUUCGGAUAGUCAGAUGUGAAAUUCCUGGGCUUAACCUGGGGGCUGCAUUUGAUACUGUCGGGCUUGAGUAUGGAAGAGGGUCGUGGAAUUCCCAGUGUAGAGGUGAAAUUCGUAGAUAUUGGGAAGAACACCGGUGGCGAAGGCGGCGACCUGGUCCAUAACUGACGCUGAGGCGCGAAAGCGUGGGGAGCAAACAGGAUUAGAUACCCCGGUAGUCCCUGUCUCUUAUAA
rnacentral:rRNA from 1 species